AGUACCCUACUGUAUGCGUGUAGCCGCUAAAGUUUUGAGCUAACACUUAUGAAAAGGGAUCCCGGCUUUAUGUGCAGCAUAGAUGCCCUUGAAGAGGGACCUAUAAAGCAUGUAAGAGGGCACCCACCUUAGGAAGAGCAGUUCAAAACAAGCAGGCCCACGGUAUGGUGGGGUAUCU
rnacentral:other from 1 species